rnacentral:rRNA from 1 species
AGCUCCAAUAGCGUAUAUUAAAGUUGCUGCAGUUAAAAAGCUCGUAGUUGGAUUUGUGGCGCGGCCGUCCGGCGGGGCUCCUUCAUUGGGGCCGUUUGUCUGGUUUUUCGGCCGCCCCAUUCUCGGGUAGUGCGUCGCUGGCAUUAGAUUGUUGGCUUCUUCACGCCCGUCGUUUACUGUGAAAAAAUUAGAGUGUUCAAAGCAGGCUUAGGCCGUUGGAUACAUUAGCAUGGAAUAAUGAGAUAGGGCCACGACGGUCUAUUUUGUUGGUUUGCACGUCGGGUAAUGAUUAACAGGAACGGUUGGGGGUAUUCGUAUUCAAUUGUCAGAGGUGAAAUUCUUGGAUUUAUGGAAGACGAACUACUGCGAAAGCAUUUACCAAGGAUGUUUUCA